UACGGAGGAUGCAAGCGUUAUCCGGAAUGAUUGGGCGUAAAGCGUCCGCAGGUGGCAAUGUAAGUCUGCUGUUAAAGAGUCUAGCUCAACUAGAUAAAAGCAGUGGAAACUACAUAGCUAGAGUACGUUCGGGGCAGAGGGAAUUCCUGGUGUAGCGGUGAAAUGCGUAGAGAUCAGGAAGAACACCAGUGGCGAAGGCGCUCUGCUAGGCCGUAACUGACACUGAGGGACGAAAGCUAGGGGAGCAAACAGG
rnacentral:rRNA from 1 species